rnacentral:misc_RNA from 1 species
UCCGGUUUAACACCGGCAGUCUCCUUAGAGUCCCCGACUUUACUCGCUGGCAACUAAGGACAAGGGUUUCGCUCGUUAAGGGACUUAACCCGACAUCUCACGACACGAGCUGACGACAGCCAUGCAGCACCUGUGCACGUUCCACUCUUGCGAGCGUGGCCUGGCUUUCACCAGGUUAAUCCGUACAUGUCAAGACUAGGAUAAGGUUCUUCGCGUAGCCUCGAAUUAAGCCACAUCCUCCACCGCUUGUGUGAGCCCCCGUCAAUUUCUUUGAGUUUCAGCCUUGCGGCCAUACUCCCCAGGCGGAGCACUUAACUUUUUCAGUGCGGCCAAAAAGAUAUGGAAGUCUCUUCGACCCAGUGCUCAUCGUUUACAGCUAGGACUA